UACGUAGGUGGCAAGCGUUGUCCGGAUUUACUGGGCGUAAAGCGUGCGCAGGCGGUUGUGCAAGACAGAUGUGAAAUCCCCGGGCUCAACCUGGGAACUGCAUUUGUGACUGCACAGCUUGAGUGCGGCAGAGGGGGAUGGAAUUCCGCGUGUAGCAGUGAAAUGCGUAGAUAUGCGGAGGAACACCGAUGGCGAAGGCAGCUCGCUGGGACGGUACUGACGCUGAGACGCGAAAGCGUGGGGAGCAAACAGG
rnacentral:rRNA from 1 species